rnacentral:rRNA from 1 species
GACGUAGGGCGCGAGCGUUGUCCGGAUUUAUUGGGCGUAAAGAGCUCGUAGGCGGCUUGUUGCGUCGACUGUGAAAACCCCGCGGCUUAACUGCGGGCUUGCAGUUGAUACGGGCAGGCUAGAGUUCGGUAGGGGAGACUGGAAUUCCUGGUGUAGCGGUGAAAUGCGCAGAUAUCAGGAGGAACACCGGUGGCGAAGGCGGGUCUCUGGGCCGAUACUGACGCUGAGGAGCGAAAGCGUGGGGAGCGAACAGG